rnacentral:rRNA from 1 species
GAUGAACGCUGGCGGCGUGCCUAAUACAUGCAAGUCGAGCGAACAGAUGAGGAGCUUGCUCCUCUGACGUUAGCGGCGGACGGGUGAGUAACACGUGGAUAACCUACCUAUAAGACUGGGAUAACUUCGGGAAACCGGAGCUAAUACCGGAUAAUAUAUUGAACCGCAUGGUUCAAUAGUGAAAGACGGUUUUGCUGUCACUUAUAGAUGGAUCCGCGCCGCAUUAGCUAGUUGGUAAGGUAACGGCUUACCAAGGCAACGAUGCGUAGCCGACCUGAGAGGGUGAGCGGCCACAAUGGAAAUGAGACACGGUCCAGAAUCAGAUGGGAGGCAGCAGUAGGGAAGCUUCCGGAAUGGGCGAAAGCCUGACGGAGAAACGCUGAGUGAGGUAUGAAGGUCUUAGGAUCGUAAAACUCUGUGAUUGGGGAAGAACAUAUGGGUAAGUAACAGUGCACAUCUUGACGGGACCUAAUCAGAAAGGCACGGCUAACUACGUG